rnacentral:rRNA from 1 species
AUUGAACGCUAGCGGCAGGCCUAAUACAUGCAAGUCGAACGGUAAGGCCCUUUCGGGGGUACACGAGUGGCGGACGGGUGCGUAACGCGUAUGCAACAUACCUUCAAGCGGGGGAUAUGCCAGGGAAACUUGGUGCAACACCCCAUAGCAUUUCGGGACCGCAUGGCCUUGGGAUUAAAUAUUUAUAGCUUGGAGAUUGGCAUGCGUGACAUUAGCUAGUUGGCGGGGUAACGGCCCACCAAGGCGACGAUGUCUAGCUGGUCUGAGAGGAUGAUCAGCCACACUGGGACUGAGACACGGCCCAGACUCCUACGGGAGGCAGCAGUAGGGAAUAUUGGACAAUGGGGGGAACCCUGAUCCAGCCAUGCCGCGUGAGGGAAGAAGGUCCUCUGGAUUGUAAACCUCUUUUGGCGGGGGACAAACCUGCACUAUACGUGCAGCUGAGGGUACCCGCAGAAUAAGCACCGGCUAACUCCGUGCCAGCAGCCGCGGU